UACGGAGGGGGCUAGCGUUGUUCGGAAUUACUGGGCGUAAAGCGCACGUAGGCGGCUUUGUAAGUUAGAGGUGAAAGCCCGGGGCUCAACUCCGGAAUUGCCUUUAAGACUGCAUCGCUCGAAUUGUGGAGAGGUAAGUGGAAUUCCGAGUGUAGAGGUGAAAUUCGUAGAUAUUCGGAAGGACACCAGUGGCGAAGGCGACUUACUGGACACAUAUUGACGCUGAGGUGCGAAAGCGUGGGGAGCAAACAGG
rnacentral:rRNA from 1 species